UUACGGCCAUAUAACGUUGAAACACCGGUUUCUGUACAAUCAUCGAAGUUAAACAAUGUCGAGCCUGAUUAGUAACUAGAUGGGUCACCGCUUGGGAAUACCAGGUGCUGUAAG